AUGUGUGUGUGUGUGUGUCUCUCUCUCUCUCUCUCCUCUGCCACCAUACCUGCACUGCCUUCAGAUGGAGAGUUCUCCAGCCUGGCUAAAGAUGAAUUGGGGAACUUAAAUCUGGAGAGUUUCAUCAGGGAGUUUCCCCAGAACAGAUACAACUGUUCCUCUCACCAGGGCACAGGAUUGAUCUCAGGAAACUUCUGUUACUCCUCCCCUCUCCCGGAACACCACUACCUGGCCACACCCACCAGCUGGACCUCUGACCGCCCCCCACGACCCAAGAGCCCCUGGGGCUGCCUAGACCCUUACACCUCUGAGGUAAUUUAGCUACGGCCUAAAGCCAAAUUUAUUCCUUAAGGAAGUAAACACAGAAAGACCCAAUUGGCAUCACAAAAUUGCGACCCUGUGUAGUUGCGUCGAGCUACAAAUUGCGGGGUUGCACAUGUCUACAUAUUUUUGCUAUGCAAGUAUGCAGAACAGCCAUUUUGUGUAGUUGUGUUAUUGCGUUGCGUACUUGUGUAAGUUCACAAUUAGGCUUUAGGCACAGCGUAGGGUUGCACAUUUUGGGGAAUAUUCAGAGGUGGAAACUUUCCGUGGGAAUUAACGGGAAUACAGUUGAAGUCAGAGGUUUACAUACACUUAGGUUGGAGUCAUUAAAACUAUUUUUUCAACCACUCCACAAAUUUCUUGUUAACAAACUAUAGUUUUGGCAAUUCGGUUAGGAUAUCUACUUUGUGCAUGAUACAAGUAAUUUUUCUAACAAUUGUUUACAGACAGAUUAUUUCACUUAUAAUUCACUGUAUCACAAUUCCAGUGGGUCAGAAGUUUACAUACUGAGUUGACUGUGCCUUUAAACAGCUUGGAAAAAUCCAUAAAAUUAUGUCAUUGCCUUAGAAGCUUCUAAUAGGCUAAUUGACAUCAUUUGAGUCAGCUGGUGUACCUGUGGAUGUAUUUCAAGGCAGCUUCAUUGUGGUGCUCUUAUUCUUCUCACUUUGCUUGGUGAGGUAGAUUGCUGCUAUAACUUGAACCACAUACAGUGGGGCAAAAAAUUAUUUACUCAGCCACCAAUUGUGUAAGUUCUCCCCCUUAAAAAUAUGAGAGAGGCCUGUAAUUUUCAUCAUAGGUACACUUCAACUAUGAGAGAAAAAAUUUGAAGAAAAAAAUCCAGAAAAUCGCAUUGUAGGAUUUUUAAUGAAUU
rnacentral:lncRNA from 1 species